UACAGAGGGGCAAGCGUUAUUCGGAAUUAUUGGGCGUAAAGGGCGCGUAGGCGGCCUGGCAAGUGGAAGGUGAAAUCCCUCGGCUUAACCGAGGAACUGCCCUCCAAACUGCUUGGCUUGAGUCCGGGAGAGGGUGAGUGGAAUUCCCAGUGUAGCGGUGAAAUGCGUAGAUAUUGGGAGGAACACCAGUGGCGAAGGCGGCUCACUGGACCGGAACUGACGCUGAGGCGCGAAAGCGUGGGGAGCAAACGGG
rnacentral:rRNA from 1 species